GAGAGGGGCUUGCAGCACCAAAGUCUGCUAAACUUCUGUCCCUCGGUUGGAUUCCGGGGCCCACUCA
rnacentral:tRNA from 1 species